rnacentral:lncRNA from 1 species
AUGAAUAUUGAAUGAAUGAUUUAAUGAAUAAUUUUGUUAGAAGUAAACAUAAAGAUUACAUUAACUAAUAGUGGCAAUAAUAAAUAAUAAUCAUAAAUGUGUUAGUACUGAAGCUAUUUGAGAUUUAAUUCAUUGUACUAAAACAUGCAUUGACUUAGACACACUGUACUAAAACAGAGAAAAUAUUGAUGGUUGAGAAAAUAUUCCCAGAGUUCCUUGGUGGCUCUGGGAUCUUACAUUGCCAUUUCUGUGACUCAAGUCAUUGCUGUGGUGCAGGUUUGAUCCCUGUCCUAGGAACUUCUUUAUGCCAUGGGCACAACCAAAAAUAAAAAAUAAAAAUCAACUAAUCCAUCAAUCAAUAUGCUUUACAAUUUAAAAAAAUAAAAGAGAAGAGUUCCUGCCAUUGUGAAGUGGGUUAAGAAUCUGACUGCAGCAGCUCCUUUCACUGUGGAGGCACAAGUUCAAUGCCCAGCCUGGCACAGUGGGUUAAGGGAUCUGGAGUUGCCACAGCUGUGGGGUAGGUUGUGGCUGUGGCUUGGAUUCAAUCCCUGGCCCAGAAACUUCCAUAUGCCGUGGGUGCGGCCAUUAAAAAAAAAAAUUUUGUUUUAUCAGUAAGGUUUGUACCAGAAGCAAAUACAGAAAAUGUUAAACAGUAUCUAUUUGGAUUGUGAAACAAGUUCUCUCCUUUCUUGCAUUAUGAUCUGCAAUUAUAUUUGAAAGUUGAACGUCUGAAAAUUAGCAAUUUUUUUAUAUGUAUGAGAAGCUUCAUACCAAAAGAAAUACAAAUACAAUUAAAUUGCAAAUUAAUAUUACUUAAUUGAUAUAAUUAAGUUAACUAAUAUUUAACAUCAGAUAUAGACAACAAAUAAUUUUCUAAGGCAAAUUACCACCUCCAAUUUAACUUCUCAAAAUUUUCUUAGAGUAAUAUUGAGUAAGCAGAAGAAACCAAUAAUGUUGGAACACUGUCAGAUAGUAAUUUCAUAAGAGAGUAAACAAGAAAAUUUGUCAGGGUUCUGAGCAGGAUAGUUCAGUGACCUUAACAUUUAGAGCUACUGUGUGAACUUCUGUGAAUACAGUUUUAAGAAGAAUUUGAACGCUGGCCUUCUCUUUCCAGCUUUCUUUUGCUUAACAUUCAUUGCUGUCUUUCCAUUCUCGUUGCACCUUCUUAGACAUACUUCUCAGCUUCUUCCAUCAGCCUUCCAUUCUAUAAAAGUUCUCUAAAUGGUCAUCAUGGACGGCUGCAUUGCCGCAUUUAUUUGCUUCAUUCAGUCCAGAUAGAUCCUUAGUGAAUGUUCUGUCACUUUGGGUUCCACUGAUCAUCUCCGUCCUUAAACUAUCUCUUUCUCCGCCUGUCCCUGUCCGUCUCUUCUGAAUACAGAUGUGCUCCA